UGGGGAAUAUUGCACAAUGGGCGAAAGCCUGAUGCAGCGACGCCGCGUGAGGGAUGACGGCCUGCGUGUUGUAAACCUCUUUCAGCAGGGACGAAGCGCAAGUUACGGUACCUGCAGAAGAAGCACCGGCUAACUACGUGCCAGCAGCCGCGGUAAUACGUAGGGUGCAAGCGUUGUCCGGAAUUACUGGGCGUAAAGAGUUCGUAGGCGGUUUGUCGCGUCGUUUGUGAAAACCAGCAGCUCAACUGCUGGCUUGCAGGCGAUACGAGCAGACUUGAGUACUGCAGGGGAGACUAGAAUUCCUGGUGUAGCGGUGAAAUGCGCAGAUAUCAGGAGGAACACCGGUGGCGAAGGCGGGUCUCUGGGCAGUAACUGACGCUGAGGAACGAAAGCGUGGGUAGCGAACAGG
rnacentral:rRNA from 1 species